UGGUGGCCCCGUGGGGGGGUCCGGCGCUCGUCCUGCCGUGGUUUUGUUUGUUUUUUGGUU
rnacentral:misc_RNA from 1 species